CCAGACUCCUACGGGAGGCAGCAGUGGGGAAUAUUGGGCAAUGGGGGAAACCCUGACCCAGCGACGCCGCGUGAGGGAAGAAGGUUUUCGGAUUGUAAACCUCUGUCCUUGGUGACGAUAAUGACGGUAGCCAAGGAGGAAGCCACGGCUAACUACGUGCCAGCAGCCGCGGUAAUACGUAGGGAGCGAGCGUUGUCCGGAUUUACUGGGUGUAAAGGGUGCGUAGGCGGCUUGGCAAGUCAGUAGUGAAAUCCAUGGGCUUAACCCAUGAACUGCUAUUGAAACUGUCGAGCUUGAGUGAAGUAGAGGUAGGCGGAAUUCCCGGUGUAGCGGUGAAAUGCGUAGAGAUCGGGAGGAACACCAGUGGCGAAGGCGGCCUACUGGGCUUUAACUGACGCUGAGGCACGAAAGCGUGGGUAGCAAACAGGAUUAGAUACCCGAGUA
rnacentral:rRNA from 1 species